rnacentral:rRNA from 1 species
GAUUUCUGGCUUGAAACAUUUUGCCGGCCACGGUUUCGUGUGUUAGUGCUUGAUGUUCUGGCCAUCCUUCCAAUCGCUAUGCACCUUUCUUCAUUGAUUGGUGUGUGGUAUUGGAUCUUUUACUUUGAAAAAAUUAGAGUGUUUCAAGCAGGCUUUAUGCUAUGAAUACAUUAGCAUGGAAUAAUAAUUUAGGACUUCUGUUCUAUUUUGUUGGUUUCUAGAACAAUAGUAAUGAUUGAUAGGGAUAGUUGGGGGUGCUAGUAUUCAGAGGCCAGAGGUGAAAUUCUUGGAUUCCCUGAAGACUAACUUAAGCGAAAGCAUU